rnacentral:rRNA from 1 species
GACGGAGGAUGCAAGUGUUAUCCGGAAUCACUGGGCGUAAAGCGUCUGUAGGUGGUUUCAAAAGUCUACGGUUAAAAAUUGAAGCUUAACUUCAAAGAUGCCGUGGAAACUUUGAAACUCGAGGAUGGUAGGGGUAGAGGGAAUUUCCAGUGGAGCGGUGAAAUGCGUAGAUAUUGGAAAGACCACCAAUGGCGAAGGCACUCUACUGGGCCAUGACUGACACUGAGAGACGAAAGCUAGGGGAGCAAAUGGG